UACGUAGGGGGCGAGCGUUGUCCGAAUUCACUGGGCGUAAAGCGCGCGUAGGCGGAUCUUUAAGUCAGAGGUGAAAUGCCGAGGCUCAACCUCGGAACUGCCUUUGAAACUGGGGAUCUUGAGGUAUGGAGAGGGAAGUGGAAUUCCAGGUGUAGCGGUGAAAUGCGUAGAUAUCUGGAGGAACACCCGUGGCGAAGGCGGCUUCCUGGUCAUAUCCUGACGCUGAGGUGCGAAAGCUAGGGGAGCGAAC
rnacentral:rRNA from 1 species